rnacentral:rRNA from 1 species
AGUGAACGCUGGCGGCGUGCUUAACACAUGCAAGUCGAACGAGAACGGAUUAUAGCCUGCUAUAAUUGUCAGCUAAGUGGCGCACGGGUGAGUAAUGUAUAGGUAAUAUGCCUCUUACUAAGGGAUAACAAAUGGAAACGUUUGCUAAUACCUUAUACUCCUUAUUAACAGAAGUUAAUAAGGGAAAGAUUUAUUGGUAAGAGAUUAGCCUGUAUUGUAUCAGUUAGUUGGUGGGGUAAUGGUUACCAAGACUAUGACACAUAACUGGUUUGAGAGGAUGAUCAGUCACACUGGAACUGAGACACGGUCCAGACUCCUACGGGAGGCAGCAGUGGGGAAUAUUGCACAAUGGACGAAAGUCUGAUGCAGCAACGCCGCGUGGAGGAUGACACAUUUCGGUGCGUAAACUCCUUUUAUAUGAGAAGAUAAUGACGGUAUUAUAUGAAUAAGCACCGGCUAACUCCGUGCCAGCAGCCGCCGUAA